rnacentral:rRNA from 1 species
AGAGUUUGAUCCUGGCUCAGGAUGAACGCUGGCGGCAUGCCUAAUACAUGCAAGUCGAACGGAGUUGCAGCAAUGCAACUUAGUGGCGGACGGGUGAGUAACGCGUGGAUAACCUGCCUGAAUGACUGGGACAACACCGGGAAACUGGUGCUAAUACCGGAUACGCUCACCAUUGCGCAAGCGAAGGUGAGGAAAGGAGAAAUCCGCAUACAGAUGGGUCCGCGUCCCAUUAGCUAGUUGGCGGUGUAAUAGACCACCAAGGCGACGAUGGGUAGCCGGCCUGAGAGGGUGGACGGCCACACUGGAACUGAGACACGGUCCAGACUCCUACGGGAGGCAGUAGUGGGGAAUCUUCCGCAAUGGGCGAAAGCCUGACGGAGCAACGCCGCGUGAGUGAGGAAGGCCUUCGGGUCGUAAAACUCUGUCUUCAGGGAAGAAAAAAAUGACGGUACCUGAGGAGGAAGCCCCGGCUAACUACGUGCCAGCAGCCGCGGUAA